rnacentral:rRNA from 1 species
AUUUGAAAUCUCCGACGCUUGCGUCGGCGAGUUGUAGUUGCGAGAAGCACUUUCUAGGUGGAUCGGCCGCGCCUAAGUUGCUUGGAACAGCAGGUCGCAGAGGGUGACAACCCCGUUUGUGGCGCGACCGGCCGCUGACGAUGUGCUUUCGAAGAGUCGGGUUGUUUGGGAAUGCAGCCCAAAAUGGGUGGUAAACUCCAUCUAAAGCUAAAUAUCGGCGCGAGACCGAUAGCGAACAAGUACCGUGAGGGAAAGAUGAAAAGAACUUUGAAAAGAGAGUUAAAAAGUACGUGAAACCGUUGAAAGGGAAACGAAUGGACUCAGCAAUGCGCCGUUUGAGAUUCAGCCGGUGGGCGGGAUCGGUCCGGCGGCUUGCGGAUCCGAACGGACCGCGGCCCCGGACUCGUUCCCCCCGGCCGUCGCACUUCUCUUGGGCGCGCGUCAACGUCGGUUGGGACUGGGUCUGAAAGGUGCCGGGAAGGUAGGUUCGGCGGAGCUCGCUUCGCCGCUCUGUUACAGCCCGGUCAUUCUCAUGGCCCGGGCCCGACCGAGGAGUUUGCAGCGCAUGCCUCGUGUGGCUAGGGUCCCGACCUUCCGGCCGGUUGUCGAAUGCGGUGGACUGCUUGCAGUGUUCCGCGGCCGCUGCCGGUCGUUGGGGUGGUGAUCUCGUAAGAUGCGCUUGGGAUGUUGGCGGUCAUAUGGGUCUAUCCGACCCGUCUUGAAACACGGACCAAGGAGUCUAACAUGUGCGCGAGUCUGGGGGUGGACCAAACCCCGAGGCGCAAUGAAAGUGAAGGCGGCGUCCGUCGCCGAGGUGAGAACCGUCGUCUAAAAAGCGGCGGCGCAUCAUCGACCGACCUGUCCUACUCUUAGGAAGGUUUGAGUAAGA